rnacentral:lncRNA from 1 species
UACGUUUUAUAAUGUACAUGUUACCACUGUUUCAUAAUAUACAUAAUGUGUGACUCUAACAUACACUAGCGUAUACAUAAACAUCACGAAUAAGAAAAACAAAUUAACAAUACAAUUAAAAUCUAAAUAAACAAAAAUUUAUUUGAAAGAAAAAACAAAACACUGAAAUAAAUCAGUUAGUACUCUUCGAGAGUAUAGCACAACAAUAAACUAGUUCUCCUUUGGAAAAAAAUUACAUGAUCACCUAUUGUGCCCUACAUGGCCGCAUCGUCCACAAUGGUUUGUGCUGGAAGAAAGAGUUUCACUUGAUUUCUUUUUCCUCCUCUUCUUUGGUCUACCUGGAAGUCUUUUGUAUAAUGGUGGCAAUAUUUCUUCCUCAUCUACACUACUGGGAACAUCCCAAUCUUUCUUGUCUGGCAUUGGAACAAUUGAAACUUCAUAUGUCUUGAUCAAUGUGUUUGGCUUGUAGUAUUCUGAACAGUAUUCUCCAAAAUCAUUUACAUAUUUAGUCUUCAAUACAGCUAUAGCGUGAGCACAAGGUAUUUGAUCUAUUUGAANNNN